rnacentral:rRNA from 1 species
UGUUUCGGCUAGGGGGCCAUCCCGGCUUACCAACCCGAUGCAAACUGCGAAUACCGGAGAAUGUUAUCACGGGAGACACACGGCGGGUGCUAACGUCCGUCGUGAAGAGGGAAACAACCCAGACCGCCAGCUAAGGUCCCAAAGUCAUGGUUAAGUGGGAAACGAUGUGGGAAGGCCCAGACAGCCAGGAUGUUGGCUUAGAAGCAGCCAUCAUUUAAAGAAAGCGUAAUAGCUCACUGGUCGAGUCGGCCUGCGCGGAAGAUGUAACGGGGCUAAACCAUGCACCGAAGCUGCGGCAGCGAACGUAUCACUUAAAGCGAUUCAGCGGGUUACGAUUGACGGAGCGAAGCGACGUCAAAGCGUAUACAAAGUCGAGUCGGUUUAAGGAUACGUUCGUUGGGUAGGGGAGCGUUCUGUAAGCCUGUGAAGGUGUGUCGUGAGGCAUGCUGGAGGUAUCAGAAGUGCGAAUGCUGACAUAAGUAACGAUAAAGCGGGUGAAAAGCCCGCUCGCCGGAAGACCAAGGGUUCCUGUCCAACGUUAAUCGGGGCAGGGUGAGUCGACCCCUAA